rnacentral:rRNA from 1 species
ACGGAGGGGGCUAGCGUUGUUCGGAAUUACUGGGCGUAAAGCGCACGUAGGCGGCUUAGUAAGUCAGGGGUGAAAGGUUACGGCUCAACCGUAGAAUUGCCUUUGAUACUGCUGAGCUUGAAUCAGGAUGAGGUCGGCGGAAUGUGGCAUGUAGCGGUGAAAUGCAUAGAUAUGCCAUAGAACACCAAUUGCGAAGGCAGCUGGCUAGACCUUGAUUGACGCUGAGGCACGAAAGCGUGGGGAGCGAACAGGA